rnacentral:lncRNA from 1 species
CUUGCACGCCCACUCAUAGAAUUUUCCCAAAAGCCUCACUCUACCCCAAGAGUUCUUUCACUAGAAUAUUUUUCACUUUAACUCUCUUGAUUUUCUAUCAACCCAUGUUCAACAUUUCCCAUGGAAGAGGCGGAUGCUCUCCCCUUGGAUGCUUCUAUGAUGUUUACAUUCCCACUUUCUAAGCAUUACUAAAUGCACAAAUAUUGCAUCUACUUAUAGGCAUACACUAGCAACUAUGCCAACAACCAAAACAAAAAAGUCUUAAGUUCACAUAAUAUAAUUAUUACCUAGCCUACCUAGCAUGCACCAAAGUCUAUACCUAGUCUAUAAAGUACAAUUUUCUCCAUUUGUCAUUUAAUGCGUAGAAGAGAAAACAUGCACAAUUGUGUGCAAGCAAACACAAGGUCAAGUCUUGCUUGCUUCUAACUUUGCUUGUGGCAGUCACCAUGUCUUCAAUUGUUGUCAACACAUGACUCAUAAUUACUUACAAAUGUAUGAGCCAAACACAACACGAUGGAUGGGGCAUCAGUUGUUUUUUCUUCGGCAAAUGCAACAAAUUCAUAGAAAUCUUUGCAUCAAUAAGCAUCUAACAUAUUCGUACUUUCUUGCAGUAGCAGAAAACAGUUAUGCACUUUCACCAUGGAGCAUGUUUGAUCCCUACCAAUUCUUUUCCUCCUAACAACUAUCUAUUUAACCCAUUAACGUUAUCGUUUGUCAAAAUAAAAAAUAAAAAAAAGCAUCAAACAUAUUGCUCAAGAAUGAUGAAAUCAGAAGAUUCAUAAUUCAUUGCAUCAACCUUCAGUAGUUUAGAUGAACCCUUGAACAUUCUUUAUACAAUGCUCUACGAAUUCAUGAGGAAGAUGACACAAGAAACCUACUCAUAGUUCUCCAGGAUCUACAGAGAGAUCGGGUAGAAUAUUACGUCCAUGUUCAGGUGAGGUAGUUGAUGAAUUCCGCAGCGGUCGCAAUGGCACCUCCUGUAAUUGCAUCCACCAGAACUUUAUCUUUGUUCUCUUUGCUGGCUGCAGAUACUAGAGCCCCUGUCAAUGCACCCCCGAGCAAUGCAUUUC